GAGAGUUGGGUGAGUCUGUGACUCUGACAGUAACCUGCUCUAACUGUGAUGGACUGGGCAGUGUCAGCUACAUAUGGGACUUACAGAUAGUACAGUUGGAAAACCUGCCCCGAGAGGUCUGGGAGGAUCGAGCUACAUUUGCCAGCAGUGAUACAACACUCACAUUGCCUGGCAGCUUCUUCAACCCUUUCCAGUCCUACGUAUUCACCGUUUCAGGUACAGUCUCAGGGACAGAAGGGACAGCCAGCUAUACUAUCCCAGAAAGAGAACAGACAUUAUUUAUCACAACCAACAUUAACGCAACCUCUGCAACGGUUGACAGCCGAGUCGCCUUCUUAGUGCUGCUGAACGAUUCCGACUCACCUGUGUUGAUUGACAUUGGAGGAUAUGACCAGUGCACACCACAGUUCAACACCGUCUCAAACUCAACAAGAAGGACAUACCCACUGUCCAUGUUUUUACUGUCAAAGAGCACAAAGGGGAUCAAAUAUGCAGUGUUCGACACUCAGUUUCAAACAAAUGGCAACUUCAUCGUCAGUGCAUCAACAACAGAUUCCCCAUCCAGUUCCUCUCAAGUCUCUGUUUCAGUAGUGUAUGAGAACGAACAAGUUGGUGUAUGUACUAAUGACACUGUUAUAAACGAGACUUCGAGGACACUUCAGACUGCUAAAACAUUGAGCUAUUCCAUGGAUAUUAACUUCCAAACCAAUGGACGCACUGGAUGUCCAUCAGUUACUGAAAACUAUUCAUGGUUCAUUCAACAUUUCAAGUCUUACGACACAAGUGUGUGCACUACAGAGGAAGACUUCGAAGCGGUAGAUUUGUAUAAUGUCAAUAUACAUGAUCAAGUGUUUUCUGUUACGUCGGGAGAUUUAUUAGAAGGUUAUUACAAGGUGUGUCUGGCUUCAGAGAUACAUAAUAAUUCGGUCUCACUUGGCACAAGGACU